rnacentral:rRNA from 1 species
GUUCUGGUUGAUCUUGUUUUUUAUGCAAUCGUGCGGAACGAUGGUAGCUUGCUCCCAGGCGUCGAGCGGCGGACGGGUGAGUAAUACUUAGGAAUCUACCUAGUAGUGGGGGAUAGCUCGGGGAAACUCGAAUUAAUACCGCAUACGUCCUACGGGAGAAAGCAGGGGAUCAUUAGACCUUGCGCUAUUAGAUGAGCCUAAGUCGGAUUAGCUAGAUGGUGGGGUAAAGGCCUACCAUGGCGACGAUCUGUAGCUGGUCUGAGAGGAUGAUCAGCCACACCGGGACUGAGACACGGCCCGGACUCCUACGGGAGGCAGCAGUGGGGAAUAUUGGACAAUGGGGGGAACCCUGAUCCAGCCAUGCCGCGUGUGUGAAGAAGGCCUUUUGGUUGUAAAGCACUUUAAGCAGUGAAGAAGACUCUUCGGUUAAUACCCGGGGACGAUGACAUUAGCUGCAGAAUAAGCACCGGCUAACUCUGUGCCAGCAGCCGCGGUAAUACAGAGGGUGCAAGCGUUAAUCGGAAUUACUGGGCGUAAAGCGAGCGUAGGUGGCUUGAUAAGUCAGAUGUGAAAUCCCCGGGCUUAACCUGGGAACUGCAUCUGAAACUGUUAGGCUAGAGUAGGUGAGAGGGAAGUAGAAUUUCAGGUGUAGCGGUGAAAUGCGUAG